rnacentral:rRNA from 1 species
GGUUGCGAUCAUACCAGCACUAAUGCACCGGAUCCCAUCAGAACUCCGCAGUUAAGCGUGUUUGGGCUAGAGUAGUACCAGGAUGGGUGACCCCCUGGGAAGUCCUCGUGUUGCAACCC